CAGACCAGGAGGUACGGGGUAAAGAGAGAUUUGCUUUAAUAACGAGCAGGUGCUUAGAAUUAAUGCAGGGAAGGAAAAGCCUGUGAAGGGACCUGAGCGAGCCCGAAUCCAGGUCAAGCCUGAGGAGACGUCCAGCCAUGUACCACACAGUUAUCAGAUCCAGCACGCAUGUGGAGAAAGCCUGGCUUUUGUGAGAUGUCGAACUCUCAGCUCCUCCUGCACCAUGCCCGCCUGGAUAGCUCCAUGCUUCCCACCUUGAUGAUGAUGGACUGAACCUCUGAAAUGGUCUGGCCGGUUACAUCUUCAGCUUCUCUUCUCAUGUUCCCUUCAUACUCAAGAAAGCUGUUUGCCUUCUC
rnacentral:lncRNA from 1 species